rnacentral:rRNA from 1 species
AUUGAACGCUGGCGGCAGGCCUAACACAUGCAAGUCGAACGAGUGGCGGACGGGUGAGUAAUGUCUGGGAAACUGCCCGAGGGAGGGGGAUAACUACUGGAAACGGUAGCUAAUACCGCAUACCAUCGGAUGUGCCCCGAUGGGAUUGGCUAGUAGGUGGGGUAACGGCCCACCUAGGCGACGAUCCCUAGCUGGUCUGCGAGGAUGACCAGCCAAACUGGAACUGGGACACUGUCCAGACUCCGACGGGAGGCAGCAGUGGGGAAUAUUGCACAAUGGGCUCAAGCCUGAUUCAGCCAUGCCGCGUGUAUGAAGAAGGCCUUCGGGUUGUAAAGCACUUUCAGCGAGGAGGCGUUACUCGCAGAAGAAGCACCGGCUAACUCCGUGCCAGCAGCCGCGGUAAUAC